GAGAAAGACAGUGGGAUCUCUUUGCCUACUGAAGAUGACCUUGGAGAUCUACCAUCAUUCUAUCAGCAAUCAGCCUUUUCUUCAGGAUGGGGACAGCACAUGUUCAGGAAAUGGAGGUGAUGAUCUGGGAGAGGUUGGUGUCUACCCAGUAGAAGACAUUGUUGUCAUCAGAAGUGCCUUCAGCGCAGGAACCUUUGGUGGGCUGAGGCGUGUCCCGCCCCACCAGCUGACUGUUGCCAUUUGACCCACAGGCUGCCAGAUGGACAGAAGUGCUUCCUGGAAAUCGCUCUCUGUUCCCAUGGAAGCUGAGACCGUUUGUUCCCUGGAAGUGAC